GUUUGAGAGAUCCUCCUCUGGGGUUUGUUUGUACUUGAUAUUUUUACUUUUUCAGUUAACUUGAAGCAGACAAACCCAUAAUGCCAGGACACAGAGGACCCUCACUGCUCUGCCCUGCUGGCCUGAGAUGCGGAAUAUGGAACAUUCCUGUUGGAACAAAGCUCAGAAAGAAUUGUUGUAUCCCUACACUGAAGGAAAGGAUGCCCACCCUGCUGUGUCGCUCACAGAGUGGAAUGACUUUUAGUCACACAGCUGCAUGUGGACAAUGGGUCAAGUCUUGUCUUGCAUUGACAAGAGAAGUUACAAACCGCUACUUCAGACCAGUGGCGCUGGUUUGCAAAGCCUGGACACCAGCUGAGCUGCCAAAGGAAAUGGUUGAAACAAGAUGACUAUGGUAUUGGCUUUGUUUUUAAAUGGAUUGUUUUAUUUUGUUAGUUGUAGAAGGCAAGUUUAGGGGACAGCUGUGCCAGGAAAAUGUGGAGCCGUGAAGGCAAGCACAGAUGGAACAUCUAGAAGACUGCUCUGAGGCCAGGUCUUCCCUAUAAACUGACAUCAGUAUAACUACAUGGCUCAGGGGUGGGAAAAAUCCACACCCCGGAGCGACGCAGUUAUUCCGACCUAACCGCCAGUGUAGACAGCGCCACGUCAACAGGAGGACAGAGCUGCCGCCUCGGUCAGAGGAGUAGCAUCUUCACUGAAGCGCUGAUGCAGCUGUGCCACCGCAGCGUUUUAAGUGUAGACCUGCCCGGAACUAUGGCGCCUAAGGGACAGCAGAUUUGUGGACAUGAAAUUUGAUGCCUGAAAGAGAAUUUGAUUCUUCUACUCUCCCCAUCAGCCUCAAAGCAUCCAAGAGACCAAAUGAGGAAAAGAGAGAGGAGACUCAAAAUAACAUCCUGAGCUCUUUAAAAUCAAACACAAAAGGCAUAUUCUGCUUUGGGACGGACAAGUGACACCCAGUGAAAUUAAAUGAGAGCAGCAUCUGAGUCAAAGAGUUCAAGAGAGGAAUAUGAAGCGAAUUAGCACCAAAGUGCACAGUUAAAAUGCUUUAGUCCCCCCAAAAUGUUCUAGACUCUAAAGCCCAAACUACCCUUUUGCUGACAAUGGUUGUCAACAACACGUUACAAUUGACCUGUUCUGUAACCAGUGUAACUGCUGGUUUGGAUGGGACAAAACUACUUUCAACACCAUUGCAGGAAGUUUUCUUGAAGCAUGGUACCAUCGUUUUGUCUCAUCUGUGCUAGUGGUAGAACUGUUGGGCACAGGUUCAGCAGGACUGGUUACUAACAACUGUGGUCAACAACAGGUCAACUUACUUCAGAGAAAAAGCAAUGGAAAAUGAUGGCUGGGGUGUAUCUUCCAAUUCCUCCCAGAGACCAAGGAAGGAAAGGGCUAUUUUUAAAUGCCUUUUUUACUCAGAGAGAUAAACAAAGGAAAACUUCACCUUUUAAAUGCAUUUCCUUGUUCAUUUAUUUUGCAUCUGAUCAACUCUGAAUGAGGCCACUCAAGGAGAAUAAGACGUUCCAUAGCUAUAGUAAAAUGAAGGUUAACUGAAUUUGUGGUACCUUCCCAACACCAAUCCUUAAAUUAUUUUUUUCUUUUAGAAUAAAUCAGGAGCCAUGCAGGAAGAGAGAGAAUAAUGAUACAUGGUUCUUCUGAAUCUGGGGUAAAGAUCCAUGAUCAGAGACUUGCACAACAUUAACAAGGGCAAGUCAUUUUAUGGGAACAAGACAUGGGACCUCAGCUAGAGCAGCACCUCUGCUGCUUCUUACUGCUACAGUGGUGGAUUCACACAGUAAAGGCUGACUCAGGGUGUUAGCUUGUGUGUACUUUACUUCAGUUUCUUGUGAUAAAGUGAGUUACACAAUACUGUGCAACUUCCACAUACGGUGACAUGGUGAUUUGCUUUUUAUGCCUGUCACUGAAGUAUUGUUGGCCUAGAUUGCAAAUUGUCAUUGUUGGCCUAGAUAGCAAAUUAAUACUAGCUGAGGUACCCCAGGGAAUUAGGGUUUGAAUGUCAGUUUCAGAAGACCAGAGAGACUGUUGAAAAAAAAUAAAGGGACAACUAUGACUUCUACCUUGGCUGACUUCUGUGUGGUGAUUUGCCCUGAGCAAUGACAAAAGCCCUAUAAAGACAACCUGGGGGUAAAAUUCAUCCCUGGGUUGGAGUCCAAUUACUACAAGAGGGAUGUAUUUGCAUGCCUUUAUGUGUGAAUUGUAUUAAACAGUAGAGAUGCAGAGGUAUAGAAAAAGAUGGAGGGGUCUGCAUCCUGUGAGGAGAGUAAAAAUUAAGGUGUAUGUCCUGCUCAUCUCCCCCAGCAGCUCUGCCAACAAUGUCAUCAAUUGCCUGUUGUCCUUUCCUCUGCACUUUAAUGGACCAGUGAAAGGCCAAGACUUGUUGCAUUGCUAACAAGAAUGCAUAAAACUUGCAGCAAGCAAACCUGUCUCAUUCUCAAGCUUCAUAGUAGGUCCUGAGCCUGAAAUGACUUGUGCACAUGCUUAAUUUUAAGGACUCUGAGUAGUCCCAUUGAGAUCAAUGGAUCGACAAUCAGCACAUACAGUUAAGGACAUAUGUAAGUCACUGCAGGAUUGGGGCCUUGGAAAAGAGGUUUGGAAAGGGGGUCCAUUAGAGACAGUAAGUUACUGCAGCAUAAUUAGAGACAGUAAGUUACUCCAGUAAGUUACUGCAGCAUAAUUAAGAUUUUUUCCUUUAUGCCCUGAUCUUCCCCAUUCCUUUAUAAUUCACCUCUGGUGUUAGCUAAGUUUGUCACAGUCCUAGAUUAAAAUCUAGGACAUUUUUACAAAUAUAUCUGCUCACUUGGGGCCUGAUCCUGCAUACAAGGUUGCAUUUCUCAGGAUCAGGCUCUGCAGUAUUCCAAAUGUGCCCAGCUCUGCUUUAUAGUCUGCUACAAAAUGUGGUAUUUCAGGGUCUGAUCCCGUGCCCAUUGAGAUCAAUAGCAAAGCUCCCAUUUACUUCAGUGAUGCAGGAUCAGACUCUAGGUGGGUUUCUAAUAACUAUAAAAGGCACCUGAAAAUAAAGGACCUUUUCAUUGCACAAGGAAGCAAAAAUGUUGGGUUUUCCUCCUUUAUUGAACUUUGGCAAAUCAUGUGGGUGUGGUUUUUUACAUCAAUAGCUAUAAAUAAAAAUUUGAAAAUUAUACAGUAUUUGUUAUUAAGAUAAAGGACAUCUAUUGGCACAAAUCAUUGAGUAAAAACCUUUAAUAAUAAAAUAACAUUCACUCUGUAGCUACUUUAUUUGUCUGGAAAACUCAGCUUACACUCAAUUCAACAUAUCACCUCCACAAAGUUAAAAAAAAUGACAUAAAAUGGCAUAAUAAAAUAUACCUUAAAUUUCAUAAUACAAGUACCUUGGCAAAUCUUAGUAAGCUGGCCCAUCUACUGUUUGUUAUAAACAGUAAUGGACAUUGUCAUUGUCUCACAUACCCCUUGUUUCCUUUGGAUUGAAAAAUUAAUUUGAACUUAAUGUAUAGAUAUUAUAAUAACUGCAUUAAGCAGGAAUAGUUUGUGGAUCUGUUAGCAUGAGUCGAAUUUACUGAAACAAAUAUUGAUUCUGUUUAUUGCGGAAGAACAUAUAAAGCUUUCUGGAAGAUUAAACACUAUUACAAUCAUUAACUGUCUUACAAAACCUAUUUAAAAUUCUUGUAUCCAUUAUCAUCUUUGGCAGAUAAAUAAGGGGAAAAAAUAAACAGACUAUAUUACAAAGCUUCCAUUAUCACAAUCUACUUCAUAAGGCCAAAUAAAAAUAUGUUUCUUUGCACUAAUGAAAUCACAUCUCCAAUAUAUUCUUAAUGCCAGAUAAUAUAAACACUGUACUGAUGUUAAAUUUAGAUGUUGUGUAUAGUAGACUGCCGCUUUUACACCUUCUGUUUCCUAAAUUGCACUCUCCUAUGCAAAGUAAAGUGUAUUUAGUAGUUGAUUUGGCUUUACGUUUAGCAUGAUCAAUGAGUUAGGUUUAUGUAAAAGUUUGCAAGUGGGUGAGUGAACCCAAAUAUAAAAAACACUAAAUUUGCCAAAAAUUAGUUUUUGUGGGUUCUUGAAGGGUAGAUUAGUUUAGGCUAUAGAGAUAAUUUUAAAUUGGGUACAAAGUAUUUUAUUAAAUACUAACCGUAAACUGAGGGCAAUGAGGGUUGGGUGUGUCCCAAAGGGACUGAACAAAAAAGAGCUUCAGUACUUUUUCAGUAAGAUUCAAAUAAAGCCAAUGUAUGCACUUCAGACGCGAGAGAGACGUGAAAUACAGUUGCAUAGGCAAGACAGAUGGGAGGGGAUUCUAACUAUGUUUUUUAGACUGAAUCACUGAGGCAGUCUGAAUUGUUGUUCUAUGUUAGAUCGGCUAAUACUGAAGUUUUUGGUUCAUGCUGAGUGCUGACUUAUUAUAAAAUACAAGAAGAAACCAAGCACAAAAGGAAUCAGAAUGGUUAUUCCCAGCAAGAUCAGUGGAAGAAGUCUGGAAUUUUUAUGAAGCUCCAUAAUAUCUACAUUUACAUUUGAGGGUAUUACAUGUUAUGUCUAAGCUUUCCGCCAUAAAGCCAAAAUAACUCCUUUUAUUUUUGGAAAAAAUGCACAGUAGACUCAAUUUUGACUAAGACGUAUUUUGAAAUGACCCACUCAUAAAUUAAAUUUAUUGGCCACGGGACACUGCCAAUUGGUCAAACUUUGCUUUGAAUAAAAUUUCCUGUUUUAUUACUGGAAUCCAAUUUGAUUUUGUUUUUUCUUAAACAUGGCCUGAUCAGGAUAGAGUUGAAUAGUGAUGUAACUUCUCAUAUAAACAAGUAUUUCAACUGCAUGAGGCAGAACUGUGCAUGUUUUCACAGUUUAAAUGUAUACACAAUUGUUCCACAACUGCUAACAGAUAACAGACUCCCAUGCAUAAAUUCCAUUAAACCAAAAGUUAAGGUCUAUUUCUGAACGGAAAAAAAAAAUUUGCAAUUAAGAACCACAAUGCAUCACACUGCUAAACUUUUUUUGCCUCAUGCAUACAAAUUAUAGCACUGAUUGGCAGUUGCUAAUUAGAAUACUACACUGUAACACAGAACAAUUAGUUGUUCAGACCAAGUAGCACAAAUGUAGAAAAUAAUCAUUUUUUUUUUCAACAGAGCAAAUUAACACAGAUUGUUUCUUCAGCAAAAUAUGAAACUGUAAACUUUGGGCUCAUUCUGCAACUUUCCCCAAUCCAGAAUAAAUAAAAAAUCCAAAGAGAAAAAAGACGGACGUACAUUAUUUUAGCGCACCUUUUUUGUCUAUUACAAAAGCACAACCUAAAACGUAUAAAGCUUUUUUUUUUCUUUAAAUCACAGUUACCAAAAAGAAACAGUGAAUAAUUUAUUACAUACGCUAUAAUAACAUUACUCUAAACACUAUUAUCUAUGAGGUAUAUCUGAGAAAAUUCGGUAAGGAAUUGCACGGUCUGCGUUGCCAACAUGCCCAGUUUUAUAUUAAAGCUUUGGAACCGUGAAGAAACAGAAAAGUAGGAGGAGGAAGAAGAAGAAGAAGAAGCAGCAGAAGAAGAAGAACCUUUGGUAUUUUUACAAAUAUUGUUCUUUGUGGGGUUGCAUUGCAAAGCACCACAGUACAAUAAGCCCACCAGGUACGAUAUGGCGGCCCAGUUGAAGCUGAGGUAUUCACAGGAAGAAUUUAAAAAAGCACAGAGAGGUCUAGACUGGCAAAAUCGUUGCUUUGGUUCAAGGAAGGCACUCGUCCCGUGGUAAUGUCACACUUUGCAAGUGAAGCAUGAGUCUGGUAAGGAAUGCAAUUGCUGUAGGGGAUCCUGCCAAUUCGGACUAUUUUCUGUGUUCAAACUGUCAAUGGUCUUAGAUGUAUGCUGGGAGGUAAAAGGGGGUGGUAUAGUAUGGAAGAUUUCACUUAACACAAGGAAUAUAUCAUCUCCUCCAUACCUAGAAGGAAUCCUGAGAAUUAUUAUAGCUCCAUGUAGAAGGUGGACAGAUAGAUAAGAAACAGAUAUCAAAAGCACACGUAUCAAGCCACUGUCUUUUCCAAGAAAGAAAAGACUUGUUAUUUUUGGGGGGGAAGGAAGGGGGAAGCAAGUUUAAUACGAAAAUGGAGCUUUUGGGUUGAGCUGAUGAUGAAAAUAAUUUGAAUCAAAAAUGCACUGCUGAUGCAAACACCUUAUUGUAAAGCUCAAAUAUCACUAUAAUAUAUGCAAGUGCAUUAGACUAUUACACAGUUUUAUGUCCCUGAUCCUAGCAGACAUAUCUGCCUGAGUGGAGUCCCACUGAACCCAGUGAGAGUCUGCAUGGGUACAAUCCUUGUUACAGAACCAGGGCCUUUGUAUCUUUGCAAGGCUGGAUUCUCCUUCGAUUGAGGAGUUUUCUAUGUCACUGGGAGCAGGAGCAGGCCCUAGCUUCUACAGGCCAGAGAGCGACCUCAGUUACUCUUGUGUAACUGAACUCAGAGUUUGGAUUUACUGCUCUACAAAUCUUCUGCGUAUGUUGGCACAAUCUUGCUCUCUUUACUCAGGCAAAACUCCCAUUGAAGUCGAUGGGAUUGUGCAGGGUCCAAGUGAAUGCAGAAUUGGGGCCCUCUAUGUCUAAACCUAUUUGAUAUAAACCUGUGAAGUGUUAAACACUGUAUACAGAAAGUAAACCAUGCUGAUGCAUGGAUUUUAAUAGUCAUUCAAUCAUAUAACAGGCUAAAAGAAACGCACAAAAGGGCACUAUUUAUUCCCUGAUGACAAAAAUAGGCAAACAACUGUUAAGUAAUCACUUAGAAGCAUCUUACUAAUGGAGCAUAAUGUGUCUUCAUUUCUCUGCUAACCUGAGAAAAAAUAAUUAACUCAACAGAUGAGAAUGUGAAAAAAUGCAAUUGUAAAAAAAAAAAAAAAAAGAGAAAGCAGUCUUUGUUUCUCUCUUAUCUAAUAUGUUGGUUAGAAUCUCAGGGCUUGUUUCUGAUCUUUGGUUCACUGGCGUAAAGUCACAGUAAUUCCAUGACUUCCUGGGAGAUAUCCAGAUUUACACUGGGGCUCUUCAGAUAAGACUCUGGUCCAGAGGAUUUACUGUACUAGGUUUCAGAGUAACAGCCAUGUUAGUCUGUAUU